UUCUACGAGGAGCAACCAAGAGCCCAGGGCCUCAACUUAGCCUCAAAUCAGCCAGAUCCCAACCUGAUCCAGCAUCUGUGGGAAACAGCAACACAAGUGUGAUCCAUGGAGGCCCGAAAAGAAUCCACUACCAACAACCCAAGAGUUAAUGAGCAAAACAAGCAGGCAAUGCCACGACUGAGCAUUUCCACCUUGAAACUGCAGUGUACCAAUGACAGUCUCCAAAACACAGAUUCACAACUGCCUGGGUUUCAUACGGACCAAACCUAAGGAACCAGUCCUGCCAAUUUGCAAGAUUAAGAUUAAGCUGGAAGAAUAAUGACUAAAUGACCAGCUCUGGCAUUUCCCACGGAUUCCCUCUGCGAGGUUCCUCGGUGAUCAGAGAUGAGGCUUUAUCACCUGGACGACCUGCUGAGUGUUUGCAGCAACGUUAACCAUGUAGCUGGGACAUCACACAGGCCUCAUAAAGCUGCGACGCUCUAAUCCUGGAGAAGAGCUGCUUGUUCCAAAUGCAGCAAACAUGUCAUAAAGUUUAAGACACUGAAGUGACUCCUUUCUAAAACUUGCAAGUGAUUUACGAGCAAAACCAGCAGAUGGUAAACUGGAGGUGGCUGGCUUGGGAAGCAUUUGGACAGAGGCAGAAAGGAUUGUCAGGCUCUUAUAAAUGUCUUUUUACUGAAAACACAUUUGUAUGUUUAAGUAGGACAUACAGGCAGUCUUUGUUUAACGCUCUUAAAUACAACAAAGCCACCAGGAAAGCAUGAACUUUAGGCAGAUUUCAGGAGUUUAGGCUCUUUGAGUGUCAUUUUACUGCAUUAAAAUGGUUAAGUUUAGGGUAAAGGUCAAGGGGAUGGGGUUGUUUUACAUUUCUUUGUUGGUUUAUUAACUCAGUCUAUUAAGUUCACUGUAAAUCAUUAUAAGUUCAUCCAGCUUAGUCCCCCUGCUGCCUUAAAAAUGAGAGUUAUCUGCACAUUGACUGAUUAAUUAUUAACAGUGCAAUUAUAUUAACUGAACUUGAGAAAACACAUGAAAUAGACAGACCUAAGACACUAAACAUGAAUCAGCAAGUCACACACAGUGGUUACAGAUAGACUUGCUUUCCUUUGACAUUUUCUAAGCCUAAAGAGUUUCUUUUUCAUCGAACAUUAAAACUUACAUCCUCAAUUGUUCAAACUCUUUUUGACCAGAGUCAGUACAAAGACAGUCAGUGACGCUGCUUCCAGUUAAACGGUGAUGUCUAUGGAUAUAACUUUGCAAUGCUUGGAACUGUUUUGAUUAAAGAAACAGCCAUAACGUAAUCUAAUGUGUAUCAAAGGCACACAGCAAGUUUCCAUCAUGUCUCUUUUCUCAAACUACAAAAACAAGAGUCUCUGAGGAGUUUUAACUCUCGACAAAUGAAUCACAGGAGAUCAGCAUCUGUUUUUUAUGAAGUCAAUUUAAUGACUUGAGUCAAUUCUCAUCUGUUUAUUUAUUCAACUCAGCAUUUCAGUCAGAAUUACUUAACUUAUAAGAAUUCUUAAGUAGUCUAAAAUAUAAUUAGACAUUUUAAAUUCAGAUAACUCUUUUGUUUGUAUUAAGUUAACAAGAAAAGAUGAAUUAAUUUGACUGAAUUACUGUCUUGUGUUUUAGAGUGUAAAAUUAAUAACUUUUAUAUAAAAGAUUUGGUUAUUCUUUCUGCCCUAAAGUGAGGUCAAAUAUUAUCUGCCUAGUACAAGCAUUGCUAUUGGAGAAAUUACCCUUUUGGCUAAAAACUGUGCAGUCUCCUAACUCUGAUUCAUUUAAAAAUGCAGUUUUACAUGCAUUUAUAGCUGCAAAGAGUAGAAAACACUCAUUUCCUUUCUUUAACCUGCUGCCCUUGUUGAAAUGCAUGUGUGUUUGUGUCACUACUUUGAGAGCAAACAAGAAAACAGAUUCCUUUCACAUACACACAUACUUGACCAGUCAAGCUGAUUCUGAUUCUUUAAGGAAAUGCAGGAGAUGCAGAGUGUUUAGGCUGAAAGAAAAUGACUCGUACCAUUGAUCCUGUGGGUGCAAUAAAAUGCAAAAAGCAUUCUGGUAAAAUGCCAGAUGACUUGGUUUGUUAUACAUGGCCUUUUAUGAUACCAGGCUGUGAAAACAAGCUAAUGUCACAAAAAUGACGCGGCGAGAACAAGGCUCAGUUUCAUGUCUAAGAGAAUGAAGAUGGCAACAACAUUAUGCCACACAGCUGCAAAAUUAAAGUAGUAACUGUAACUGAUUAAUAACUGAAUAUACACUACCGUUCAAAAGUUUGGGCUCACUUAGAAAUGUCUUUAUUUUUGAAGGAAAAGCAGAUUUUUUCAAUGAAGAUAACAUUAAAUGAAUGAUAAAUCCGGUGUAGACAUUGUUAAUGUGGUAAAUGACUAUUCUAGCUGGAAACAGCUGAUUUUUAAUGGAAUAUCUCCAUAGGGGUACAGAGGAACAUUUCCAGCAACCAUCACUCCUGUGUUCUAAUGCUACAUUGUGUUCGUUAAUGGUGUUGAAAGGCUAAUUGAUGAUUAGAAAACCCUUGUGCAGUUAUGUUAGCACAUGGAUAAAAGCGUGAGUUUUCAUGGAAAACAUGAAAUUGUCUGGGUGACCCCAAACUUUUGAAUGGUAGUGUAAGAUCUGUAAUCACUUUUGUUUUUAACUGCAAUAUGGACAAAUGUAAUGUGAUUACAGUGUGUACAUUUGACUCUGAACACAGCGAAAAUGCUAAAACAAAGACAGAUGGGACAAGAAACACAGCAGUCUUUUGCAAACAUGCAGAUUCAACUUCAGCUCUGUGCAAACAUUGUUUUCCUGUUUGAGAAUGUUUUCAGGUAUUCUGAUCAAAUGAACAGACAUAUUAUCCUCAUAUAUCUGAGGAAACACAAUGUUGUUGACAGAUCUCAAUGCAAUUACUUUGGGAGUGCAGAAAAAAUAGCCAAAAACAUGGACUUAAGAUGCACAUUUGGACAUCAUGUUUGCAUGUAAUCACUGUUUUGGCUGCAUUUUCUAUCCAGCUAUAUUUAACUUAGAGAACUUUUCACCUCAGUUCACCAGCAAUAAUUCCAUAUUAUAAAUGCUGAGUGUUGCCGAAGACGACUUGCAGCAGUUUCCCUAAACACACUCCCGUCUUGUUUUCUGAGCUCACUUCUUUAGUCAAAGUCACUUGAACUCAUUAGCUUCCCUGACCUCGCCGUGCACCGUGGCUGCAGCCGAAGCAAACACUGUGUUCUGUUGCAAAGCACCAACACACACAUGCGCAGCGCUCGGCUAAACUUAUUGUGGUAUAUGCAGAGUCAUUUGUAUGGAUGCAUUCAGUGAGAUAGUUAAUCUGUAAGCGCCUGCCGGAGAAAGCAAUUAACCUCCCGGCCCACCGGGGGAGUUGAUAUGAGUGAGGGAGCAUCUCUCCGCCAUUUAAAUAUACACCAGAGGGGCUCGAGCGCUCGCAUUCAGCCAACCUAUUAUUCAUCAUCAGCGCUUUAAAUGGCCUCUUCAUGAAGACAGCGAGACAGGCCUCACUCCGUUUUACAUAUACAUACAUAUGCUGUACACACACACACACACACACACACACACACACACACACACCCCCACACACACACACACACACACACACACACACACAGGUAUUUAUUUCCACACCCAGCCUGACUGAUCCCCCACGGCUCGGGAGUUUCGGAUUGCCCUUGACGCAGAAAUGAUUAAGGUCAGCUAAAGAACAAGAAAAUUAAAUGCUGCAUUCCUGGUGAUCAGGGAAUUUACCCGACACUGGAGGAAACUAUGCCGACUCCUUGCCAAGUCUGGAAAAGGGAGAUAGAGAGUGUCCAUCCUGAUUAUUUUCAAUGCCAGUGUAGGUUCUGCUCGGCCAAAAUAUCCACAACUUUUGCUAUGGAAGACCUCUUUUUUGGGGGUAUUUCUUGAUGGACUUCUUCGCCUCUGCUCGGUGAUAUUAAAAAAUCUUUUGUGGUCAACUUUUUCCCCAUUUGCCAGAACGAGAAACUUCUCACAGGCUGUUCGAUAUGAAUCUCACUCUGUGUUUGUGGCCACUGACCUGCCAGCUUUUCCCUCAUGCAUCAGUAAGCUCUCUAAUGAGGAGAGAAACACCGGCACAGAUGGACCAAGGAGGGGAGGAUGCGCCGAAAACGGAGGGGGAUGAUGCAGAAUUUGUGAUGAAAUGAAAGCUCAGAAACAUCCACUUAAAGAUGUGCAUGCAGUAGAUCUUUCCUAGUGUGGAGGUACUUUUGAAUAAGUCACGUACUUUUUUGUUAGAGAAACUCUCAGAGGCAGUGCAAGCAGAGAUAAUGUCAGAAUUUGAUUUAAACCUCAGCGAUUUGAGACAGAUGGGUGUAUUUUAGUCACACCAGCAGCUCCGCUCUAAGGGUGACCAACUAUAUACUGUCUCAACAACUAUUUAAUGGAUUUCACUGCCACUGCAAUCCAUUAAAAACUCAUUAAAUAGUUGUUUAAUAGUUUUGUAGAGAUCUUAAUGGUUCCCAGAGGAGGAACCAUUCUGCGCUGGUGAACCCCUGAUCUUUACUGUGGCACCACCAACAAGUCAUAAUUUCAAUUGUUCUGUGAAAUAUUGAGUGGAUUCCAACACUUUGUAGACUUUUGAGGCUGCUGGAUGUAGAAUCUUUGAUAUUUCCUCUUUUGUGUAUUGUUCAGUGGACAUAUUUAUGUCCCACUAUCAAUCACAAUAACUCUAGCGAUCCUAUUAUUUUACAUUUAGACAAAUAAAUCAAACUUUUAGCCAAAAACACCUCUCUGCAUAGGUAUAGUCUCACAGAACUGAUCGAUUCUGACUUUGGUUUGGAAAAUUAGCUGAAGUUACUAAACUUUGGAGCAUUUUUAAAUACACUCACAGCUGAAAACGUGAUACAACUGUGGUUUUAAUACAGUAAAAUCAGAAAAGGUUUCAGAGAAAACACCAUCUGGAACCUCACCAAUGGGUGAUGAACCCUUAAACACAGCAUCACUUCUUUUUCAUGCACCCUUCAGUUUCCUGUCUAAAGGAUUUGCUCAGUUAUCUGACUCGUCAGUGGACAAGGUUUAAAGCUUUUGGCAACACAGAGCCCCGACUGUGGUGGUAUUCUGUCUAACUGGUUUAUGUUCUCUUUCCAUGUGGAACAGCUGAUCAAAGCCAGGUGUGAGUGUGGUUUCUUAUCCAAACUGAAGUGUGCAGGUACCGGUUGGCGAUUGGUGGAUCAACUGUCGGCUUGCAGACGACUGGUUCUUUGCCAAUGACUGCCAGCAAGUGAAGUAGCCUCAACAGAGGUGCUGCUGCAGGAAUCAUUCAUCUCAAUCUGCUCCCAACCAGCCACACUCAUAUCCAGGCUCUACAUCUGUACUGUUUUCCCAUAUGGUUGUCUUUGUUCAUCUGAAACUUUUUACAUGCUUUCUUCUUCUUAAAUUAGGUAAGAUGCUGUGUUUUGGUUUGUUACUUGGUUUUCUUGUUGUUUGCUAGUUUGGCCUCUGACCACCCUGAAGCUAAAUGUGUCUUGUUUAACCUGUAAAUUAUUAUCAGAUCUGCACAAUCUGCUUUUGUGGCCACCUCUAGACCAACCCCAUCUCUCCAAAGUUACAUUCCUAUCCUGCAUUCUACAAUAUGUUUUGAACGGAGCAUAAUUUUGUCAUGUGGUUGGAAAAGUGGCUAGUUUUUAAAAGCGACAAGUGGUAGGAGGGAAGGACAUAAACCAGCAACCAGACUUUCACCCAGUAGACCAGAGUUUGUGUCCUGUAAUGGACGAGAAACCAUCAGUCUCAGAAUUAAGUUUCAUUUUCUGUAAUUCAGUUUUGGUUUUCAUCAAGUUUCUGGUUAGGUUUAAGACCAAAUUUACUUGGUUAGGGUUCAAAUACAACCCCUUCAUUACAAAUUAAUCAUCUCCUCCAUUUUCUGACAAGUCCUGCACCCUGUAAUGUAAGAUUGUUUGGCUGAAAAGGAGAGACAGUGAAGCACUAAAAUACAUAGUAAAGAUACCUUGAUUAUUCCAAACAAAUGUAAUCCGUUAGAAAAUAAAUUUCCUUCAAAAUGAAAUCGAAAAUGCAGUUUAGCACAAUUUUGUGGAGACUGGAUUACCUAGACAUAGCAUAAUCAGAGCAAAACUGAAAAAUGUAAAAUUUGAUUCUAAUUAGAGUGUGUAAUUUCAGCUUCAAUGAGCCUCUCGAUCAAAAAGUAAAAAGCUGUGUUUUGAUGACUCGGGAACAUAGACUUUAUAUGAGACAUGAAAAAGACCUACUGGAUACCACUGUGCAGCCUUAAGUCUAUUUACCUUUUGCCGUCUAGGUCUUUUGAAACCAGAAGUUAUGAUCGAGUGGUAUUAAUGUGUGGAGAACCUGAGGACAUCACAGGUGAUGAUACAGAGGCAACUUUUCAAUCACAAGAGGCCGGGCGCCAUCGUGAUGGAUCACCUCCGUGCAUUAGGUCUUGCAACAAUCAGUGUGCCAUCUCCCACAGUCUGGACUCCUGAUGAAUGUAAGUCCAUACUUUCCUUUUAGCUCUCAGCCUUCAUCCUUUCCAGAAAGGAGAAAAAAAAAAUUGGCUCUUUGGACAAGAUGUUUGACUUAGCAGCUUCCCCAGCUAAUCACUAACAUUGUCUGUGUGCCAUUUGGUGCAGACAGGUACCAUGAAGUGGGUUUAUCAGAGGCUGGUUUUCCUGCUGGAAACAGAGUUAAUGGGGGUGAAACUACAACUCAAUGCUAAGAAGAAGCAUCGAGGAAACUAACAGCGCUUUAUCACAACAAGCCUUUUUACAUUAAACACAAUCAGUUCAUUCUUUGUUAGUACAGAAAAUACUGACUAGCGGAGCCCUAAAGGCAAAUAAC